UACGUAGGGACCGAGCGUUGUCCGGAAUCAUUGGGCGUAAAGAGCGUGUAGGCGGCCAUUUAAGUCCUGCGUGAAAUCCUGCGGCUCAACCGCAGGCGGUCGUGGGAAACUGGAUGGCUAGAGUGCGGGAGAGGAGAGUGGAAUUCCUGGUGUAGCGGUGGAAUGCGCAGAUAUCAGGAGGAACACCGGUGGCGAAGGCGGUUCUCUGGGCCUUACCUGACGCUGAGGAGCGAAAGCGUGGGGAGCGAACAGG
rnacentral:rRNA from 1 species